rnacentral:rRNA from 1 species
UCUGGGACAAGCCCUGGAAACGGGGUCUAAUACCGGAUAACACUCUGUCCUGCAUGGGACGGGGUUAAAAGCUCCGGCGGUGAAGGAUGAGCCCGCGGCCUAUCAGCUUGUUGGUGGGGUAAUGGCCUACCAAGGCGACGACGGGUAGCCGGCCUGAGAGGGCGACCGGCCACACUGGGACUGAGACACGGCCCAGACUCCUACGGGAGGCAGCAGUGGGGAAUAUUGCACAAUGGGCGAAAGCCUGAUGCAGCGACGCCGCGUGAGGGAUGACGGCCUUCGGGUUGUAAACCUCUUUCAGCAGGGAAGAAGCGAAAGUGACGGUACCUGCAGAAGAAGCGCCGGCUAACUACGUGCCAGCAGCCGCGGUAAUACGUAGGGCGCAAGCGUUGUCCGGAAUUAUUGGGCGUAAAGAGCUCGUAGGCGGCUUGUCACGUCGGAUGUGAAAGCCCGGGGCUUAACCCCGGGUCUGCAUUCGAUACGGGCUAGCUAGAGUGUGGUAGGGGAGAUCGGAAUUCCUGGUGUAGCGGUGAAAUGCGCAGAUAUCAGGAGGAACACCGGUGGCGAAGGCGGAUCUCUGGGCCAUUACUGACGCUGAGGAGCGAAAGCGUGGGGAGCGAACAGGAUUAGAUACCCUGGUAGUCCACGCCGUAAACGUUGGGAACUAGGUGUUGGCGACAUUCCACGUCGUCGGUGCCGCAGCUAACGCAUUAAGUUCCCCGCCUGG